rnacentral:misc_RNA from 1 species
CAUCCGUAGGUGAACCUGCGGAAGGAUCAUUCAUAAUAAGUGUUUUAUGGCACUUUUUUAAAUCCAUAUCCACCUUGUGCAAUGUCAGGGUUGAUUUUUCUCUCGAGAGGAUCAGCACCAAACAUCAACUAUAUUUCAACUCUUUUUCUUAUAAAUAUUAUGAAUAAAAAAAUUCAAAAUACAACUUUCAACAACGGAUCUCUUGGUUCUC